AGCGAACGCUGGCGGCAGGCUUAACACAUGCAAGUCGAGCGGGCCUUCCGGGGUUAGCGGCGGACGGGUGGGGAACGCGGGGGAACGAGCCCGCGGGUUCGGAACAACUCAGGGAAACUUGAGUUAAUAACGGAUACGCCCUUUUGGGGAAAGGCUUGCUGCCGGAGGCUCGGGGCGGGUCUGUUUAGCCAGUUGGUGAGGGAACGGCGCGCCAAGGCGUCGUUCAGUAGCUGGUGGGAGAGGAUGAUCAGCCACGCUGGGAGUGCGGCACGGACCAGAGUCCUACGGAGGGCAGCAGUGGGGAAUAUUGGGGGAUGGGCGCAAGCCUGAUCCAGCCGUGCGGGGUAAGUGGUGAAGGGCUUAGGGUUGUAAAGCCCUUUUAUCCGGGACGUUAAUGACGGUAACGGAGGAAUAAGCCCCGGCUAACUUCGUG
rnacentral:rRNA from 1 species